rnacentral:rRNA from 1 species
CCUACGGGAGGCAGCAGUGAGGAAUAUUGGUCAAUGGGCGCGAGCCUGAACCAGCCAAGUAGCGUGAAGGAAGACUGCCCUACGGAUUGUAAACUUCUUUUAUAAAGGAAUAAAGUGAGGCACGUGUGCCUUUUUGUAUGUACUUUAUGAUUAAGGAUCGGCUAACUCCGUGCCAGCAGCCGCGGUAAUACGGAGGAUCCGAGCGUUAUCCGGAUUUAUUGGGUUUAAAGGGAGCGUAGAUGGGUUGUUAAGUCAGUUGUGAAAGUUUGCGGCUCAACCGUAAAAUUGCACUUGAUACUGGCAGGCUUGAGUACAGGUGAGGUAGGCGGAAUUCGUGGUGUAGCGGUGAAAUGCUUAGAUAUCACGAAGAACUCCGAUUGCGAAGGCAGCUUACUAAACUGCCACUGACAUUGAUGCUCGAAGGUGUGGGUAUCAAACAGGAUUAGAUACCCCAGUAGUC